GAUGAACGCUAGCUACAGGCUUAACACAUGCAAGUCGAGGGCCCGGCGCACGGGUGAGUAACACGUAUCCACCCUGCCCUUUACUCGGGGAUAGCCUUUCGCAAGAAAGAUUAAUACCCGAUGUAAAGGUUGGGGAUGCGUUCCAUUAGGUGGUUGGUGAGGUAACGGCUCACCAAGCCUUCGAUGGGUAGGGGUUCUGAGAGGAAGGUCCCCCACAUUGGAACUGAGACACGGUCCAAACUCCUACGGGAGGCAGCAGUGAGGAAUAUUGGUCAAUGGGCGUGAGUCUGAACCAGCCAAGUAGCGUGAAGGAUGAAGGCUUAUGGGUCGUAAACUGCUUUUAUAUAAGAAUAGGUAUUAUAUGAAUAAGGAUCGGCUAACUCCGUGCCAGCAGCCGCGGUAAUAC
rnacentral:rRNA from 1 species